rnacentral:snRNA from 1 species
UGAUGUGAGGGCUAUCUGGCUGCAGCAUCUGUCACCUCACUGGUUGCCAGGGUUGAUUUGGCUGAUGUACUGGCUUUUUACUGGCUAGGCUGGCAUCCCCUCUGUCUCUUCUCAUCCGUGUGUGUUCCUUACCCUACUCCCCACUCCCACCCCAAAGUUGCAAGCUCAGUUGAAGAAAACAGCCUUCCCCAGUGGAGGAGGACCAUUCUUUGAGCAAGGAUAUAUGUGUGUGUGUGUGUGUGUGUGUGUUCCUCCACUAGAACCUCCAAACAAGCUCUCAGGAAGUAACGGGUAGGUAGUUGUUGCUUAAAGGACCAUGAGUUU